AAGUAGAGGUAGGCGGAAUUCCCGGUGUAGCGGUGAAAUGCGUAGAGAUCGGGAGGAACACCAGUGGCGAAGGCGGCCUACUGGGCUUUAACUGACGCUGAGGCACGAAAGCAUGGGUAGCAAACAGGAUUAGAUACCCUGGUAGUCCAUGCCGUAAACGAUGAUUACUAGGUGUGGGGGUCUGACCCCUUCCGUGCCGGAGUUAACACAAUAAGUAAUCCACCUGGGGAGUACGGCCGCAAGGUUGAAACUCAAAGGAAUUGACGGGGGCCCGCACAAGCAGUGGAGUAUGUGGUUUAAUUCGAAGCAACGCGAAGAACCUUACCAGGUCUUGACAUCUAACUAACGAAGCAGAGAUGCAUUAGGUGCCCUUCGGGGAAAGUUAAGACAGGUGGUGCAUGGUUGUCGUCCGCUCGUGUCGUGAGAUGUUGGGUUAAGUCCCGCAACGAGCGCAACCCUUGUGAUUAGUUGCUACGCAAGAGCACUCUAAUCAGACUGCCGUUGAC
rnacentral:rRNA from 2 species